UUUUUGCGAGACUCAAUAACUCUUCAGCUUCUUUUCCGCCGCUGCUCCCAUCAUCACCCCACUUUGAGAGAGAAGACACGGCAAAGGAAACUUACGAGAAGGCCAUUGUUUCACUCCAGAACCUCCUCAGUGAAAAGGAAGAACUGGAAUCGAUUGUAGCAGAAAGAAUUGAUGAAAUCACAGCUGAGUUACAAACGACAUGCUGCAAUUCCUUCGACCCUGUUCAAAGGAUCAAGACUGGCUUUUAUUAUUUCAAAACAGAGAUAUAUGACAAAAACCCAGAACUGUUUGAUAAACUCAAGAAAUGAUAGGAACCCAAGGUAUAAGAUGUAUAUUAUAUUUUUUUUCUUUGUAAUUUAAUUUUCUAUAGCUGAAAAAUCAAGUAUCCAACCAUGUAACAAUUUCUGGUGUUUGCUUGCUCUGAUUCACGAGUGAGUCCAUCCCAUGUGCUGAAUUUUCUGCCCGGUGAGGCUUUUAUGGCUCGAAACAUCGCCAACAUGGUCCCUCCUUAUGACAAGACAAAAUACUCGGGAGUAGGAGCUAUAA